GAUCACAGGCGGCCCGGACUUAAAUCCCAGUUAAGCCUCCAAGUAAUUGUGUGACCCUGGGUCAGUCGCAGCCUUUCUUUGAAUCUCAUUUCAUCAUCUGUGAAAUGGGAGGACAAUAGCCGCCGUUCUCGGCACGUCCGAAGCAGCAAAAGAGGUUACACGGGUGAAAACUCUGGAGGCUUAGAGUGCCGCGCGGGAGAGGGUUUUGUCCUCUUCCCCGAAGGAUUCAAAGUUCAAGCACGGGGCCGCUCUAGCGCUCAGGUGACGCUGCUAUUCUUGAGUUCCCAUACCUCUUAAACCUCGGUUGUAGCCCUGAUGCUGUCCGUCCUCUGGCAUGCUGGAGCUAUGUCAUCUCUCCCCCAACUAGACUGAGUCCUCUGGGAGGACAGGCACCUACCCAUGUCAUCUCUAGUUUCAGUGCCCAGCCUGAUGCCUGACUCAGAAAGGGCCUUAAUAAAUGUCGCUGGAUGAAA